UACAAGAGGUGCAGAGGAAGGUCUGCAGAAGAAAUGAGGACGAGCCGUCUGUAGAAAGUCCCUGUGUGGGAGAAAGCAGAACACCAAAGAAGCCAGCACCGUCCCACAGUGGGGCCAACAAAUAACAUUUAAAAGGGGUACAGGACGGGAGGAAAGGAGCUGCCCUGGUCAUCUCCACAGCAGUAGAACGGUGUCUAAGACAGGAGGAAAGACCAGCAUCUAUGUUUUUUAAAUUACAUUUCCUGUUUUCUCCUUGUGUGUCUGUAUUCCUACCAUGGCCGAAGUGUGGAGGUCAAGGAUGACCUGUAAGAGUUGGUUCUCUCCUCUCGUCAUAUGGGUCCCGGGAGUCAAACUCAGAUUGUAAGGUGUGACAGCAAACACCUUUACAUGCUGUGCCUUUUUUAAAAAAUGCGUAUUUUGCCUGCCUGCAUGUCUGCACUGGAGGAGCAGCCAGUGCUUUUAACCACUAAGCCGUCUCUACAGCCCUUGUUUUGUUUUGUUUAUUUAUUUGUUUGUGUAUGUGUGUUUGGGCGGGGGUUGCUUGCUUACUUUUUGAGAUACUGUCUUACUUCCUAUCUCAGGCCUGGAGCUUGCUGUGUAGAUGAGUCUGGCCCUCACAACCUUCCUGCCUCUGCCUGCCAAGCGCUAGAACGACAGGCAUGCGCGGCCACCCCCAGUCUCCCUUCCCCUUUAGGCAGCAGUAAAAUCUAUCCAUCGAUUUGAA